ACGAGCCUGUCUGUGCAGUUACCACUCGCAAAGGGUUUAUAGCAGAAAGCCUGGAAGGCAAACGUCUCCCAUCUGCUGAGUAGUGCUAUUAUCCCUCCAGUGAACUGUGUCAGUGGUUCUCGGGAGGGUGACGGAGUUUCCUCAGAAACUGUUCCAAGAUGCAGAGGAAGUGAAGUCAAAUAAGACGGGCCAGUAGAGUUAAUGAGCUGUGCUCAUUCUCUGGAUUGUGGAAUUUCCCACACCAAAAGAUUGGAAUCUCCACUUUUGCAUAUGACUAAAUUACAUAUCACUUAAUGAUAAGUAGGAACAGGUCUGAGCAAGCACAUCAAGCUGUGUGUGUGUGUAUGUGGUUAAUGUGCUGCCGAACAAUUAGUUUUAUUGCUAAAUGACUUUCACUCACUCUUGUCUUCACGGAUCCUUAACAAGAGGGUGAAAACACAAGGUAAUGUCUGGCUCUUAAACCUCCUCUUAUCCUGUGGGAGAUACAAAAUUACUUUACUUUUAUUAUAAGUGAUUGAUAUUGUAUUUUCUUCAUCAGAUACCAUGUUCAAAGUCUCAAAAAGAAGUGCAACAAAUAAAUAAAAUAAAAGUUCUGUCAUUCACAGACAAAGAGUAAGAGCUAAAUUACAGGAGCACAAUCUUGUAGUUUGGCCACAAUUCUUCUUUUUCCCAUAUACAUUCAUUGUAUCAAGAAAAUGAACAUACAGACUUUGAGCAUCCUCCAACUUUCCCUCUAGCACCACAAUGAGGUUGACAUUUGUGGUUUUAGGUGAAUUGUCUCAACAACUUCUGUAGCGAUGGUCAGAUUGUUGUGAAAUUCAGACAUUCAUGCUCGCUUUAGGAUUAAUUAGCACUUUUGGUUUCUUAAAUGAGUGAUUUAACUUGUAUCGUCUUUUUCAUUCACUGCCAAUCCAAUUCACUUUUUCAUUUGAGUCUCGACAGAGUUCCACAACACAGGGUGGAUACCCAACUCAAGCCUGAUGGGUCCCGACGGGUCUGGACGAGUUCGGACCAAAAUCUUAAAUCGAUAUUCGAUAUUCUUUCUUUUUCACUGCAUGUGCUUAAAAAACAUCAGGCUCAGCGCAGGUUCAGACACCAAAAAGAGAAUUCCUGACCGAUUUGGAUCAGUUUCCUCACUGUUGCUCACACUUGUGCUAUUCAGUCCCAGCUAACGCUGACUCACGGACAUUUUUAAACUUCCCCCAGCUCCCUCUGGUGCCACAAAACCCUCAGAGCAGUUCCUCUUCAACUUUCAUACCGUGGUGUCACAAGGUCAACAUGAAAAUCUGACAUUGAAUUGAUUUAAUCUGCGACUAAAUACUUGACAUUCAGUCUCAGAUGAAUAGUGGACUGGUAUCAAACGUUGUGUCGUAUCUCGUGUCUUUGAUUCCCAAGAAACUUAAAUAUAGUCUUUCGGCAAAUGUUGGCAACAGUAAAGCUACGACAACUGUGCAGGAGAUAGACUCGAAUCCAAUGCACCAGAACCACAUAAAAAUCAAAUGAAUUGUUGUUUAAUAUGUCUGAAUCUUAAAAAUCAACAGUAAGUGAAAACAGAUUCAAAUUAGUUUUAAACUGUUUUGAUUCUUUUAGAUGGGGGCUAGCCAGGAGGACUCCAUAUUAUGGUAAAUACAUAUAAAUCAAAGGAGCAUAGAAAAAGGGGACGUGAAUAGACACAAAUCUAAGCUGUGUUCAGAGAUAAAAAAAAAAACACAAGUGAGUGGAAAGUUCUGAACUUCCCUGGGGGGCGGGGGUUUGUAGAAGCAGGAAGCUGCUGCUGCUGCUGUGUCUCAGGUGAUGUCACUGUUGCGCACAGGCGCUGUUAAAGGAGCUCGACGGCUCGUACUGAGGCAGAUGAGAUGAGGAUCGUCGUCGUUCAACAGCAGGAAUCGAACGUGUGACAAAAAAACUACUCGGUGCAACACCAGCGGGUUUCUGUGAGGUUGACGCGUUCUGAAGGAUAAACAGGAUCAGCUGAGUGUGUGCCAAUUGUCCUCUCCCACUGGAGCCAUGGCGGCAGCAGUCCUGAAGAUGUACUUUAUUGGAACCGCGCUGACCGUCUUUGCGGUCCUUUACGGAAUAGUGGACUCCUUCGGCGGCCUGAUGUACGUCCAGGACCAAAACUACACACUGGAGCUGGACCAGCAGACGCACAGACAGCUCUCGUCAAGGACCCACCGCAGAGGAUCGUGUGUGGCGAAAGGAAUCGGCUCGUAGUGGAAACAUCUCGACGUGCGACAAUGUCUGCUGGAUGGACAUGUUGGACACCGGCAAUGGGUCAAGAGACAGUAACUGCAGGAGAUAAUAACUACUGAUUUCAUCGCUGACAAUACACGUCAUCAUGUCUGACUUGUUGGACAUGUUGUGCACGGGACAGUUUUUCUUGAGGUGGAUGGAUGUCUGCUAUUCCUACUUUGCACCAUCUGCUGUAAAACACCGCUGUGUUUAAUCACCUGGCAGUCUGAUGACGAAUGUAACGGCACUACUGAACUCUGAUAUGCACUAAAUAUUACAAUGUUGUUGUCUUUUGGAAAUAUUCUUUCAGGUCAAUGUGCUUUGUUUUUUUUCUAAAUAAAAUGAAUCGAAUCAAAGUGAAGUGUUGUAAUGAGUAGUUUUCCGCAGCGUUUUCCUGGAAACUGAAAUAAGUCCAACAAAUGUUCAGCGGAGAAUUUGUGGAACUAAAGGUUUAAGAGUUUGGCUCCAAAUAUUGGACCCGCGAGGACUUUUGACUUUAAACCAAAGACUCAGACAAGAAGGAACGUGUCUUAUUCAGUCUGAGGUUGAAUGGAGACAUAAUGCCAAUUUUGCUCUAGUGUACCAUUUACACAAAGAGUCCUUUCAACAUUUUAAUGGGAUUCAGCAGCCUGUGCCUACAUGGGCAGGAUCUCAAGAGGUCAAAGAAAAAGACGGUAUUGUAUUUAAUGCAGGAGAGACCAGUUCCUUAGAAUCUGGAAUCAGAAUCUGGUUUUAUUGCCCAAUGUCUACGUGAUUCAGGGUCAUUUCAGAUAUUUUCCGUCACAAGCUGGAGGAGAGAGGACGAGAAAUCACUCCUCUCUCGCUCCUCCGGCGGUUUCUUUUUUUUUUUUUUAUACUUGUAUGCAUUUUUUAAGGGGUGGGGAUUGGUUCUUUUUAUCUCCUUGUCUGAUUUGAUGAUCUUUGUACCGAGGGUGUUGUGAUAGUGGGCUGUAUAAAAUAACACACAACGAAAACAAUAAAAUGAAACGUGAAUGUU